rnacentral:rRNA from 1 species
AGCAGUCGCCGCGGGAAAACGGAGGGUGCAAGCGUUAUCCGGAUUUAUUGGGUUUAAAGGGUCCGUAGGCGGAUCUGUAAGUCAGUGGUGAAAUCUCACAGCUUAACUGUGAAACUGCCAUUGAUACUGCAGGUCUUGAGUAAAUUUGAAGUGGCUGGAAUAAGUAGUGUAGCGGUGAAAUGCAUAGAUAUUACUUAGAACACCAAUUGCGAAGGCAGGUCACUAAGAUUUAACUGACGCUGAUGGACGAAAGCGUGGGGAGCGAACAGGAUUAGAUACCCCGGUAGUCCCUGUCUCUUAUAC